ACUUUUGUAGUGAAUAAAAAAGCGAGAAAAAUCGAGAAAAACAAGUGAAUAGCAAAUAUGGUCAGAAUCCGGUUGACUGUGUGGCGCCUAAUCAGUGACGGAAAGUGCAAAUGAAAAGCGGAAAAUCCAGCAUCUAUGCGCAGGCAGGCCAACAGCACAAUUAAGUGCUCCACUAGCAAGGAGUUUUGGGGCAGUUAGUGUUGAAGUUGCUGUCGUUGUUGCAGUCCAAGUUGAAGUCGAAGUCGAAGUCGAAUUUGCAGUCGUCGUCGCAUUCGAAGCUGUUGACACACUUUCGAUUGCAUCACCGCAGCGUGCGGCACAAAGUGGCCAUAAGAUGCAGCCAGUUUUAGCUUAGUUUACAGUUUCGGCUCUAAUUAUUUGUGCAAAUGGUGGACAUGUGCAUUAUUUAAGAUUUCAUCAUUGGGUUUUUUCCUGGAGCGGUCACGGAAUCUUGAAAAAUAUAACUAAGAAAUGCCAACGCAAUUAAAUUGAUUUAGAUUUCAAAGCAGAGCAGCAGACACUGCAAAGGAAAUUAAUCACAAUCUAAUUGUUUUGCCAACUAAAUUACACUAUCCCAGUUUUUCUAGGUGCGUCCCAAAUAUGUGGUGAGAAAUUCAUGUUUUGGUGUUAGAUUUUUGCAACGAAAUAUUUGCACAGUAAAUGCCUUUGCUAAUUGCCAAUUACGUUUAAUUAAUUAACAUGAAAAUUACAACAACAAAAAAAUGAUACAGUGUCGAAAAGCCAUUUACGAGUUGGAAAAUAAAACAAGUUUCUGUCUUCAAAUUUGCAACGACGCGUCGCCUAAGUGCCGAAAGAUUUUCCAAAAAAGAUUUUCAAAUCAAGUGAAUUACAUAAAAAAAACAUACCCCGGCGCCUAAUAGUUAAAUUUCUAAAUCAGAUGAUUGAUUGACUGACAGAUAGAAAGAGUGAGAGAAGGAGAGAUGGCGAGGAAGAAGAGAGCUGGAAGCUAUAUGAGUUGUGGUCGUAAUUUGAGUCGCUUAUGUAGAUGUAAACCAUUGCUCAACAUGUAUUCAAUUACCAGUCGAGUACUGAGUAUGAGGUAUUUGUCAUAUUUAUGGUGAACAUUUGACAAAAGGCUGCACUUAAUUAUGCUUCCACCGAAUGCAAAACAGCGAUAAAACAGGAAAAACAGUACAAAGAAAAAAAUAAAUGAAAAAUUCGAAUCGAAUAUCUGUGUUUAUAUUAAAAUUUCCGCCUUAUUAAUUUAUGCUGUGACAAACACAGACUGAGACACAACAACAACGGCCACGGAUACAAAUUCAUCAGUAUCUGACAGAACAAUGCGUAAGUUGGGCGGGAUUAUACGAGUAGUGAAUGAAAGCCGGGAAUGCUUUGGCAUGGACACUGCAAAUGAUUGUGAGAAGCUGUUCGCAUUCAGUUAUUCAAUUAAAUUGGCAACUCAAGGGGUGGACUAUUUAUGAAUGUCUGAGUCUUUGUGUGAGUGCAUGACUGUGGUUGUGGUCUCGCCCUGUGGGUCUCAGCUUUAUUAUAAUCAGCGCUUUGACUUUUGUAAAUCUCAAGAAUUGAGCAGCGUUACAAAGUUCAAUGAGGGCCAGUAAAUUGACAUUGAAUUGCUUGGAAGGGAAUAUUCGUAUGU